AGCGAGGCAGGGCGAGGGGAGGGGAAGCGGACGCGCGACCUGCGCCCCGCACGCUCCGCCUCCGAGCCAGCAAGAUGGCGACGGCUGAGCCGCCCACUUCCCCUCCCCCGGCGACCACGUGACCUCAGUAGCCUCUGCGCUGUUAGUCCGGGACGGAAGAGGGGUUUAGCCCGAGUUGGACUGGCUGUUUCGGGGUUGCUCCAGGCAUGGGGUAGUAUCUGGUAGCAUCUUCGCCUUUUUCCUGUGCUCCAACCCUGCUAAUUUAGGAACUGAGAGGCCCACUUCCAUCCAGUUCAUACGGGUCUGACCUUCCUACUGGGCCUGCACAAAUCUUCAUAGGUGACAUUUUGAUGUCAAGGAGCCUGAAAUCUGCCCCCCCCCCCCAUCACGUCAAUACCCCAUCUUUGAGCAUGUGAUAUAUGAAGAAGCGUGAUGAUGGACUGCGCCUGCCUAAAUCAACAAUUCCCAGACCUUUAUCUCACCCUCUCUGGCUUCCAAUCACGUUCCCCCAUGCUCUCUCUAAAAUCCCAUAAAUACUCAAGAGCCCUUUUUUUCGAGAAAGGGAUAUGAGAGUUGUUCUCCCGUCUUCAUGCUUGGCUGCCUUGUGAAUAAAUUCCUUUCUCUGCCACAAA